rnacentral:rRNA from 1 species
GGACUACUGGGGUAUCUAAUCCCGUUUGCUCCCCUAGCUUUCGCGCAUCAGCGUCAGAAGAGGUCCAGCAGCUCGCUUUCGCCACCGGCGUUCCUUCCGAUAUCAACGCAUUUCACCGCUCCACCGGAAGUUCCAGCUGCCCCUACCUCCCUCCAGCCAAUCAGUAUCCAAGGCACUUUUCCGGUUAAGCCGAAAGAUUUCACCCCAGACUUGAUUGACCGCCUACGCGCCCUUUAAGCCCAGUGAUUCCGAACAACGUUCGCACGGUUCGUCUUACCGCGGCUGCUGGCAC